rnacentral:rRNA from 1 species
UACGUAGGGGGCAAGCGUUGUCCGGAAUCAUUGGGCGUAAAGCGCGUGUAGGCGGUUCUGUAAGUCUGCUGUGAAAGUCGGAGGCUCAACCUUCGAAAGCCGGUGGAUACUGUGGAACUAGAGUGCGGAAGAGGCAAGUGGAAUUCCUGGUGUAGCGGUGAAAUGCGCAGAUAUCAGGAGGAACACCAACGGCGAAGGCAGCUUGCUGGUACGUAACUGACGCUGAGACGCGAAAGCGUGGGGAGCAAACAGG